GACGAACGCUGGCGGCGUGCUUAACACAUGCAAGUCGAACGAAGUGGCGAACGGGUGAGUAACGCGUAAUCAACCUGCCCUGCAGAGGGGGACAACAGUUGGAAACGACUGCUAAUACCGCAUACUGAAGGAGGGGAUUGCGGGGGAUUAGCUAGUUGGAGGGGUAACGGCCCAACAAGGCGAUGAGCAGGAGGCGGUCUGAGAGGAUGAACGGCCACAUUGGGAAUUAGACACGGCCCAGACUCCUACGGGAGGCAGCAGUGGGGAAUCUUCCGCAAUGGACGAAAGUCUGACGGGGCAACGCCGCGUGAGUGAUGACGGCCUUCGGGUUGUAAAGCUCUGUUAAUCGGGACGCGGUACCGGAAUAGAAAGCCACGGCUAACUACGUGCCAGCAGCCGCGGUAAUUC
rnacentral:rRNA from 1 species